ACGGAGAAGGCUAUGUUGGCCGGGCGACGGUUGUCCCGGUUUAAGCGUGUAGGUGUGUGUUCCAGGUAAAUCCGGUUCACUUUAACACUGAGGCGUGACGACGAGGCACUACGGUGCUGAAGCAACAAAUGCCCUGCUUCCAGGAAAAGCCUCUAAGCAUCAGGUAACAUCAAAUCGUACCCCAAACCGACACAGGUGGUCAGGUAGAGAAUACCAAGGCGCUUGAGAGAACUCGGGUGAAGGAACUAGGCAAAAUGGUGCCGUAACUUCGGGAGAAGGCACGCUGACACGUAGGUGAAGUGAUUUACUCAUGGAGCUGAAGUCAGUCGAAGAUACCAGCUGGCUGCAACUGUUUAUUAAAAACACAGCACUGUGCAAACACGAAAGUGGACGUAUACGGUGUGACGCCUGCCCGGUGCCGGAAGGUUAAUUGAUGGGGUCAGCGCAAGCGAAGCUCCUGAUCGAAGCCCCGGUAAACGGCGGCCGUAACUAUAACGGUCCUAAGGUAGCGAAAUUCCUUGUCGGGUAAGUUCCGACCUGCACGAAUGGCGUAAUGAUGGCCAGGCUGUCUCCACCCGAGACUCAGUGAAAUUGAACUCGCUGUGAAGAUGCAGUGUACCCGCGGCAAGACGGAAAGACCCCGUGAACCUUUACUAUAGCUUGACACUGAACAUUGAGCCUUGAUGUGUAGGAUAGGUGGGAGGCUUUGAAGUGUGGACGCCAGUCUGCAUGGAGCCGACCUUGAAAUACCACCCUUUAAUGUUUGAUGUUCUAACGUGGACCCGUUACCCGGGUUGCGGACAGUGUCUGGUGGGUAGUUUGACUGGGGCGGUCUCCUCCUAAAGAGUAACGGAGGAGCACGAAGGUUGGCUAAUCCUGGUCGGACAUCAGGAGGUUAGUGCAAUGGCAUAAGCCAGCUUGACUGCGAGCGUGACGGCGCGAGCAGGUGCGAAAGCAGGUCAUAGUGAUCCGGUGGUUCUGAAUGGAAGGGCCAUCGCUCAACGGAUAAAAGGUACUCCGGGGAUAACAGGCUGAUACCGCCCAAGAGUUCAUAUCGACGGCGGUGUUUGGCACCUCGAUGUCGGCUCAUCACAUCCUGGGGCUGAAGUAGGUCCCAAGGGUAUGGCUGUUCGCCAUUUAAAGUGGUACGCGAGCUGGGUUUAGAACGUCGUGAGACAGUUCGGUCCCUAUCUGCCGUGGGCGCUGGAGAACUGAGGGGGGCUGCUCCUAGUACGAGAGGACCGGAGUGGACGCAUCACUGGUGUUCGGGUUGUCAUGCCAAUGGCACUGCCCGGUAGCUAAAUGCGGAAGAGAUAAGUGCUGAAAGCAUCUAAGCACGAAACUUGCCCCGAGAUGAGUUCUCCCUGAGACUUAGAGUCUCCUGAAGGAACGUUGAAGACGACGACGUUGAUAGGCCGGGUGUGUAAGCGCAGCGAUGCGUUGAGCUAACCGGUACUAAUGAACCGUGAGGCUUAACCUUACAACGCCGAAGAUGUUUUGGCGGAUGAGANNNNNNNNNNNNNNNNNNNNUACAACGCCGAAGAUGUUUUGGCGGAUGAGAAGACGAUUUUCAGCACUGAUUCAGAUUACAUCAGAACGUAAAAACGGUCUGAUAACAGAAUUUGCCUGGCGGCAGUAGCGCGGUGGUCCCACCUGA
rnacentral:rRNA from 1 species